ACUUGCUUCAUCGGCACGUAUACUAAAAAAUUGUAAUGAUACAGAGAAGAUUAGCAUGACUCCUGGGCAAGGGUGACACACAAAUUCUUGAAGUGUUCCAUAUUUUA